AUGAUCAUCUUCUGCAACGUGCUGGACAAACACCCCAAGCCUCAUUUCUUAAGACUGCCUAGCAAUGCAACUCGAUCGCCCGCUGUUCGGGACGUUUCAGUCCUUAAUGGCUUCAUCAAGAUGGUCGAGCUGGAGCACCGUGCUAUUGGUUGGAAGGCCACAAUAUGGAGCAUCAAGACUGGCAUCUUCUCCAAAGCGCAUUGGAGUGUCGAUUGCCAGUUCGAUUCCUCUGCUAUACCUGAACCGCCGCUGCCUAAGCUGAAGGUCCGUGAAGGUGUCACAGCUCAGCCUACCUUGUUGACUCUCCAUAUUGGCCUGCCCAAGCUGAGCCUGCAAGAUGAUUGCAUUCUUUACUUACUAGCUAAGAUUGACUACCGCGACAGGCAGCACACAUCAUGGGUGCUUGCUGUUGACAUGAAGAACAACACUGUCCAGAGAGUGGCUGAGUUUAGCCCCAAGAGGGCUAUUGGUUUAGCCAGGGGCUACGAUUCAAGUACGAUCUCCAAAUAUCUCAAAGUUGGUCCAGGGAAAGGCGUGCAAGAAGCUGAGCAGUGA
rnacentral:rRNA from 1 species